UGGGGAAUUUUCCGCAAUGGGCGAAAGCCUGACGGAGCAACGCCGCGUGAGGGAUGAAGGCCUCUGGGCUGUAAACCUCUUUUCUCAAGGAAGAAGAAAUGACGGUACUUGAGGAAUAAGCCACGGCUAAUUCCGUGCCAGCAGCCGCGGUAAUACGGGAGUGGCAAGCGUUAUCCGGAAUUAUUGGGCGUAAAGCGUCCGCAGGCGGCUCAGAAAGUCUGUUGUUAAAAAGUGGAGCUCAACUCCAUCCCGGCAAUGGAAACUACUGAGCUUGAGUGUGGUAGGGGCAGAGGGAAUUCCCGGUGUAGCGGUGAAAUGCGUAGAUAUCGGGAAGAACACCAGUGGCGAAGGCGCUCUGCUGGGCCAUAACUGACGCUCAUGGACGAAAGCCAGGGGAGCGAAAGGG
rnacentral:rRNA from 1 species